GGGAAGGUGGCUCAGUGGUAGAGCGCUUGCCUUGCAUGCAUGUUGGAGACCUAAAAACCUGCCUG
rnacentral:tRNA from 1 species